ACGUAGGGUGCAAGCGUUGUUCGGAAUCACUGGGCGUAAAGGGCGCGUAGGCGGGUUUGUAAGUCGAUUGUGAAAGCCCAGGGCUUAACCCUGGAACUGCAGUCGAAACUACAGAUCUUGAAUGUCUGAGAGGGUGGGAGAAUUCCUGGUGUAGUAGUGAAAUACGUAGAUAUCAGGAGGAAUACCGGUGGCGAAGGCGCCUACCUGGCAGAACAUUGACGCUGAGGCGCGAAAGCGUGGGGAUCAAACAGG
rnacentral:rRNA from 1 species